UACGAAGGGGGCUAGCGUUGUUCGGAUUUACUGGGCGUAAAGCGCACGUAGGCGGUUUGUUGAGUCAGGGGUGAAAUCCCAGAGCUCAACUCUGGAACUGCCUUUGAUACUGGCAAGCUCGAGUCCGGAAGAGGUAAGUGGAACUCCUAGUGUAGAGGUGGAAUUCGUAGAUAUUAGGAAGAACACCAGUGGCGAAGGCGGCUUACUGGUCCGGAACUGACGCUGAGGUGCGAAAGCGUGGGUAGCAAACAGG
rnacentral:rRNA from 1 species